GAUGAAGAACGCAGCAAAAUGCGAUAAGUAAUGUGAAUUGCAGAAUUCAGUGAAUCAUCGAAUCUUUGAACGCACAUUGCGCCCGCUGGUAUUCCGGCGGGCAUGCCUGUUCGAGCGUCAUUUCAACCCUCAAGCCCCCGGGUUUGGUGUUGGGGAUCGGCUCUGCCCUUCUGGGCGGUGCCGCCCCCGAAAUACAUUGGCGGUCUCGCUGCAGCCUCCAUUGCGUAGUAGCUAACACCUCGCAACUGGAACGCGGCGCGGCCAUGCCGUAAAACCCCAACUUCUGAAUGUUGACCUCGGAUCAGGUAGGAAUACCCGCUGAACUUAAGCAUAUCAAUAAGCGGAGGGA
rnacentral:misc_RNA from 1 species